GAUGAGGGGGGAAGAUAUUUCAACAAAAAUAAUUAAAAUUAAAUCAACGAAAGAAAUCCCUAGAAGCCUAAAGAAAAGAGGGGAAAGAUGAGGCCGAUGCCGAUGGAACUCGUGACGGACCCAGACGACCAAGGUUCAGCCAUGGAAGUCGACGAUGUUGACACACCGGAGAUCUUCGGCGAAGGCGUCAUCACUUUCGACAACAAGCUCGCCUAUGCCGAUUUCUUCAACAACUUCGAAACUGAAUCAGUUGAAUCAGUUGAGUCGAUUCCUCCUCAACCUCCAUCUUCCUCUCAAGCUCUAGUUUCAGCUACCUUUUCACCUUCUGUACUUAGUUUGAAGUCGGUUCGCCGGUCAGCUCUGUUUGGUGCUCACUCCACCACUCUCCAACGCUCCCGAUGCUGUGAGUUUCUCUAUCCAAGGUCCAGAAAUUUAAAAAGAGCUUGCAGUACUAGUUUAGUCGAUGACUUCUCUGAUGAAGAAUUCUCAAAAAAGAUUCAAGAAUUGGCACCCAAACUCUAGUCACCGGACGACAGCGAUAAACCUAUCAGCGAAAUCAACAUGAAGGAUUUAGAUUCUGAAUCUUUGAAGCCGUCGUGGUUGGAAAGAGGAGAAGAAAUAAUCCCAUCAAACAUAGAACGUAAAGCCAACAGCGUGGAUCUUCCGCUUUCGCUUCGGAUUAUAAAGAGGAAACUACAAUGGCAAGAAGGGUUUCGUGAUGCUGGGGAGUCGACUUAUUGUUCAAUGAAGAAGGCGUUUUCUUCAAUGGUUUUUAUAAUCCGAGAGCUUUAUAGUUACAUUUUGCAGAUGCGAGAGAUUUUGUUUUAUGAAGAUUUACAAGGGGUUCUUGUUAGAGUUCAAAAAGAGAUGCAUGCUUCGUUUGUUUGGUUGGUCCAACAGGUCUUUUCUCAUACGCCCACAUUCAAAGUUCUAAACUAAUUUUUCCCCUAUAAUUUCAUUUUUAGAUUCAAAUUUUCGUUUUUUUUAUUUUUUAUUAACAGCAUUGACUUUUAAUAUUUAUUUUGAUAGUUUUUUUGGGGACGUGGGGGGGCGAGUAAGCACAUUUGCUUUUGAACAUAAGAUUGAUUCUGCCUAUGUUAUGUAUUUGCCAUAUUCCAGUUUUGGAUUCAAAGUUUGUAUGUGUUUCUUACCAUUUUCUAAGAAAUAAAAAAUAUGUUAUUAAUAUUGUCUUUGUUAAGUCUUUUUCACAUAAUUUUCUUUGAAGUUUGAACAUUGUUUUGCUCCUUUUCAUUAUGGAAAAACAAAUCUUUUUCCAAUUUAGUCUUUGUUUUAAUUAUUUUAUAUAAUUAAAUUACUCAAAGUUUGUUUCCUUUUUGAUCCAAACUUUUCUUUUGUACAAAAUUACUCUUUUCUUAACUUUUUAUAUUAUAUAUAUAUGUUUUAUAAGAUUUGCUUUAGCUCUCAGUUUUCACUUUCACAAUGAGUUAUUUGAGCAUUUUUCAUAUUUCUUUCUAAUGUGGGACAGAUUUCAUUUUCUUAGAAAGAAAAAAUUAUAUUGUUUUUGUUGCCUCAAUCCUCUUUAUUUGUCUCUUUAACCUCAUUGGAUAUGGAGUCUAUGUUGCCUUUUCUUUUCAGUUUUUCCAUUUUAGAUUUAUAGUUAAACUUCAAAGUGGUUCUGCUUCAAGUUAACAGUGGGGUUUUUUACAUUGAUCAUCUUAAGUUUUCAGAAAAUAUUUUUCCUGUUGAUUUGGAUUUUUUAAGGUUAUUUUUGUUUUUCCUUCCUAAAAUGCUUUUUUUUUGGAUGAUUUAAUGAAUAUGGCAGGAUUAAGCUUUAGAAAUCCAUGAUUAACUGAAGACUUUAUAUUGGGUCCUCAGUUCAAUUGUUUAAAAUCUAUAUAUAUUUUUUAUAAUAUGCUAUGUUAUUCAGACUUGGGUAUGUCCUUGGAUGAUCAUAUCCCGGUACCUUUGUUUUGCAUAUGUGCUGGACACGGGUGCUUUAAAUAAAAUGAAGAGUGCUUGCUGUCAACUAGGAGUUUUGAUGAUUAUGAUCAUGAUUGUUUCAUAUAUAUAUAUAUUUCACCUAUAGUAACAUUAAUUUUGUAAAGAUAUUUUCUUCAAUUCUUAAAUUGCUUUAAUAUCUCUUAUUAUCUUAAAAGUUCUGUUUAUCUUGGUAAACUUAAUUUUGCAACUGCUACUGGAUUUUUUGAGCUUCUCUGCUUCUAGCUUUUCAUCUAUGGUCAGAUACUCAGUUGUGACUGAUAAGGUCUCAAUGGAGGUUGUUGAAGAAUUCAUUCUAGAACAGUUGAAUUUGACAAAAGUCACAAUAUCUGAAAUUAAGCACAUUCAUUUGACAGGAUAAUUUGGAAACCCUAUUGCAAGAGGACAUUCAGGCUGAUCUAGUCUGUUGCAGCAUUUGCAGUUAAGAUUUGAAACUGAAGACAAAGCAAGGAGACUUCUAAGUAAUGUGUCCUUUUUGUUGAAACCAGGGGGUUAUUUUUUCGGUAUUACUCCUGAAAAACUGAUUGCCAAAAACUGUUGUUUCUGGAUUUGUGUAUUUUCCUUCUUUUUUUUUCUUGUGGUUAUUGCUGCACCUGUUUCUGGGAAGUGAUUGUGUAAACAUUUUAGUGUGCUUUAGUUAUUGUAAGAAUAUUUUUAACAUUGUUAAUUUUAAUAUUAUUGUAAGAAUAUUUUGAAUUAUAAUUCAGUUAUCAAUUUAUAUCAUAUAUCUUUCAUUGAA